UUGUCCUCUGACCUCCACACCUGCACUAUGGCAUGCACCACCCCCAUCCACAGCAAAAUAAACAAAUUCGUAUGUUCAAUCCUAUGACAGCUUUGGUAGCUACAGACUUUGGGUGACGGAAGACAGAGUUUAGCCCUGUGCCGUUAGCACCCCGUAUCCUUUAGUUAAGGUGAAAGGAGAGCAAGAGUCUCCAGAGGAUGCCCCAGGUCAUGUCUCUACCAAGAGAAAGCAACUCUGGAGACAUUUUCAAGGGACUCGACGUUACUGUCCUAGGUGCACAUCAAUCUCCAUAGCAGUCAUAAGUGUCUUCUUGAAGGCUACGUUAGAGGAACGCUGAGUCCAAGGCUUCAGCUCACACGUGCAUGCAAAGGACACUGGAAGGAACCCUGAGUUACUCCUUGAUUAGUGCUUCGUGUGGUAGAAGGAAAAGAGGCAGGCACUCCAUCCAACACAUUUGCUUUUGUUGACUGAGCUUCCUUCUCUGCUGAGGCCUGAUUUCAUCUCCUCAGACUGGGCUCUGCCUCUGCAAAUGUAACAAGAAUCCAUCUUGCUCCCCAAGCGAUAAGAGUUCAAAAUUACAUAAUGUUUUUCUUUCGAGAUGGCUUCUAGACGCUACCUCACUAAACUAACACCUUCAAGAGACCAGCAAACACAAGAGUGGAAUGCUGAGCCCGCCCACCUGCCUAUGGGUGUGCUGCUGUGAACGAAGGCUGGACUGGAAGCAGGCAGCCUCUCCGCCCCAUGAGUGUUUAUUUGACUUUCGUGUGUGUCUUAAGGCUUCUAAAGAUCGUCCUCUCAGCUGAUGACUUACACAAAAUCUUCUAGUUCUUUAGGCCUAUGAAGUGCUGAGGUGAGUGAAGGUCCUUAGAAGGACAGGUAGGGACCCAUCUUUGCAUCUUUAACAUUUAGACCUAAUUUCACACCAAGCAUUGUUUCCUUCUAGGAAUCCAGACCACUAGAAUCUUCACUGAUUGCCCUUUUGGUGUUUGGAAUUCUCCCCAAACAAAAGAAGUGCCAACAGUUCAUCCCAACGCUACAGUCUGGGUCCUGGCUUCUGCUAGCAUCUUUGCUACAGGUUGAGAAACAGACACCAGCAAACAAGGAAGGAGACCACCUCAGGCAUGCGCUGCCCAGGCAGGAUCUCAGAAAUGUCUUUGCAAGGCUGAUCGACGGCUGCGCUUGUCAUGGGUUCCAUCAGUCACUGCGUUCGUCAUGGGUUCUAGCCAGGUAACUGCAUAAAAGCGACUUGAUACGGCUAAGGCAACUGCCCCAGGUAAGCAAUAAAACUGAACAAAGUUGAACGAGAAUGAGAAAAACCAAGUAGAAUGAUGAGAUGAUUGCUACAUUAGGGUAGCUGCGAUGGGCAGACACAGUAACUGGACCUGAUGUCUCCAAGAGUUUUAGGUGGUUACCCUGGAUAGCCACAACAGGCUGGACUCACUCCCCUCUUUUGGGAGGAAGACCUACAAGUUCUGGAUACCGGGUCUAAGUGGCAAGAGGAAGGUUUGAACAUGUCUUGCUUC
rnacentral:sRNA from 1 species